rnacentral:rRNA from 1 species
UGGGGAAUCUUGCGCAAUGGGCGAAAGCCUGACGCAGCCAUGCCGCGUGAAUGAUGAAGGUCUUAGGAUUGUAAAAUUCUUUCAGUAGGGACGAUAAUGACGGUACCUACAGAAGAAGCCCCGGCUAACUUCGUG